AGGGGAUAACAUUUGGAAACAAGUGCUAAUACCGUAUAAUACCAACAACCGCAUGGUUGUUGGUUGCAAGAUGGUUCUGCUAUCACUAAGAGAUGGACCCGCGGUGCAUUAGCUAGUUGGUAAGGUAACGGCUUACCAAGGCAAUGAUGCAUAGCCGAGUUGAGAGACUGAUCGGCCACAAUGGGACUGAGACACGGCCCAUACUCCUACGGGAGGCAGCAGUAGGGAAUCUUCCACAAUGGGCGCAAGCCUGAUGGAGCAACGCCGCGUGUGUGAUGAAGGGUUUCGGCUCGUAAAACACUGUUAUAAGAGAAGAACGGCACUGAGAGUAACUGUUCAGUGUGUGACGGUAUCUUACCAGAAAGGAACGGCUAAAUACGUGCCAGCAGCCGCGGUAAUACGUAUGUUCCAAGCGUUAUCCGGAUUUAUUGGGCGUAAAGCGAGCGCAGACGGUUAUUUAAGUCUGAAGUGAAAGCCCUCAGCUCAACUGAGGAAUGGCUUUGGAAACUGGAUGACUUGAGUGCAGUAGAGGAAAGUGGAACUCCAUGUGUAG
rnacentral:rRNA from 1 species